CGGCCCAGACUCCUACGGGAGGCAGCAGUGGGGAAUAUUGCACAAUGGGCGCAAGCCUGAUGCAGCGACGCCGCGUGAGGGAUGACGGCCUUCGGGUUGUAAACCUCUUUCAGCAGGGAAGAAGCGAAAGUGACGGUACCUGCAGAAGAAGCGCCGGCUAACUACGUGCCAGCAGCCGCGGUAAUACGUAGGGCGCAAGCGUUGUCCGGAAUUAUUGGGCGUAAAGAGCUCGUAGGCGGUUUGUCGCGUCUGGUGUGAAAACUCAAGGCUCAACCUUGAGCUUGCAUCGGGUACGGGCAGACUAGAGUGCGGUAGGGGAGACUGGAAUUCCUGGUGUAGCGGUGGAAUGCGCAGAUAUCAGGAGGAACACCGAUGGCGAAGGCAGGUCUCUGGGCCGCAACUGACGCUGAGGAGCGAAAGCAUGGGGAGCGAACAGGAUUAGAUACCCUG
rnacentral:rRNA from 1 species